rnacentral:rRNA from 1 species
UGCAGGGGGGGCAAGCGUUGUUCGGAAUUACUGGGCGUAAAGGGCUCGUAGGCGGCCAACUAAGUCACACGUGAAAUCCCCAGGCUUAACCUGGGAACUGCGUGUGAUACUGGCGGGCUUGAAUUCGGGAGAGGGAUGUGGAAUUCCAGGUGUAGCGGUGAAAUGCGUAGAUAUCUGGAGGAACACCGGUGGCGAAGGCGGCAUCCUGGACCGACAUUGACGCUGAGGCGCGAAAGCCAGGGGAGCAAACGGG